UACGUAGGUGGCGAGCGUUGUCCGGAUUUACUGGGCGUAAAGGGAGCGUAGGCGGACUUUUAAGUCUGAUGUGAAAGCCUUCGGCUUAACCGGAGUAGUGCAUUGGAAACUGGGAGACUUGAGUGCAGAAGAGGAGAGUGGAACUCCAUGUGUAGCGGUGAAAUGCGUAGAUAUAUGGAAGAACACCAGUGGCGAAAGCGGCUCUCUGGUCUGUAACUGACGCUGAGGUUCGAAAGCGUGGGUAGCAAACAGG
rnacentral:rRNA from 1 species